rnacentral:lncRNA from 1 species
CGCAGGCUGGAAACUGUAGCUCUUAACGGUUCCCCGCCCGUUGGUGGCAAGGCGGCUGGACUAGAAUCCUAGCAGGCGAUAUGCGAGAAGGCGGGCAGCCCAAGAGGGUUGGGCAGGGCAGUGUGGAUCUCGCCGCUUCCACAGCGAUGCUGGCUACUGAUUUCGGACACCUCCUUGCCAUGGGAUGUGAGAAAACUGACACUUGGAGAGGUAGAGUAGCUUUAUUUACUUCACACAAGCUUUUGAUGAAUUUCAAGUCUCAACCUAGAAGUCUUCCUCUAAGGGAAAUUAAUGUUAUGACUGGAUAAGACAAUUGUGAAGAAACUGCACUUCGAGGUUGUCUGUCUCCGUAUUCCGAUGGAAAAGGCUGGACUUUAGAAGCAUUGCUCGCUCCUUCAGUUUCUAACAAGAGUUUUACAGUUUCUGAUUAAAUACCAAUGGGAUAUCACCUCCCAUCUCUUAGGAUGGCUGUUAUAAAAAGGACAAGAGAUAACAAGUGUUGGUGAUGGUGUGGAGAGAAGGGAACCUUUGUACACUGCUGGUUAAAAUGUAAGUU